rnacentral:rRNA from 1 species
GACGAACGCUGGCGGCGUGCUUAACACAUGCAAGUCGAACGGAAAGGCCCUGCUUUUGUGGGGUGCUCGAGUGGCGAACGGGUGAGUAACACGUGAGUAACCUGCCCUUGACUUUGGGAUAACUUCAGGAAACUGGGGCUCAUACCGGAUAGGAGCUCCUGCUGCAUGGUGGGGGUUGGAAAGUUUCGGCGGUUGGGGAUGGACUCGCGGCUUAUCAGCUUGUUGGUGGGGUAGUGGCCUACCAAGGCUUUGACGGGUAGCCGGCCUGAGAGGCUGACCGGCCAAAUUGGGACUGAGAUACGGCCCAGACUCCUACGGGAGGCAGAGGUGGGGAAUAUUGCACAAUGGGCGGGAGCAUGAUGCAGCAACGCCGCGUGCGGGAUGACGGCCUUCGGGUUGUAAACCGCUUUCGCCUGUGACGAAGCGUGAGUGACGGUAAUGGGUAAAGAAGCACCGGCUAACUACGUG